rnacentral:tRNA from 1 species
GGCGCCGUAGCUCAGAGGAAGAGCAAGGGACUCAUAAGCCCUGGGUCGGUGGUUCAAUUCCACCCGGCGCCA